rnacentral:rRNA from 1 species
GAUGAACGCUGGCGGCGUGCCUAAUACAUGCAAGUCGAGCGAAUGGAUUAAGAGCUUGCUCUUAUGAAGUUAGCGGCGGACGGGUGAGUAACACGUGGGUAACCUGCCCAUAAGACUAGGAUAACUCCGGGAAACCGGGGCUAAUACCGGAUAACAUUUUGAACCGCAUGGUUCGAAAUUGAAAGGCGGCUUCGGCUGUCACUUAUGGAUGGACCCGCGUCGCAUUAGCUAGUUGGGGAGGUAACGGCUCACCAAGGCAACGAUGCGUAGCCGCCCGGGGAGGGUGAACGGCCACACUGGGACUGAGACACGGCCCAGACUCCUACGGGAGGCAGCAGUAGGGAAUCUUCCGCAAUGGACGAAAGUCUGACGGAGCAACGCCGCGUGAGUGAUGAAGGCUUUCGGGUCGUAAAACUCUGUUGUUAGGGAAGAACAAGUGCUAGUUGAAUAAGCUGGCACCUUGACGGUACCUAACCAGAAAGCCACGGCUAACUACGUGCCAGCAGCCGCCGUAA